rnacentral:siRNA from 1 species
AGGCCCUGUUCGUUUCCCUGUCGC